UCCAUACAAAAUUGUACAAAACACUGUACAAUUGAACGAAGCUGUGCAAAAACAGCAAAUUGUAUAGAAGUAGCUGAUCCUGUCCAGUACACGUGCGCUGUGUUCAAACUUUAUUGAUAAACAAUGGCGUCUAAGGAGGCGGGGUCUUGUGUCUGGACUGUAGCUCUUCCAAAAAGUCUCAUGAGGAAAAUGAACAAACUACUAAGAUACUGUUAUUUCAUCUUCGUCUGACUCUGAAAAGUCCGAGUGCUUGCUGGAAAGACAAGGGGAGGAGACGAGAGUAGAGGAGAAAGCCUCCUCGUCCUCAUCUUCUUCUGCUGAGGACUUUUUGCCCACGUCACUGAGGUCCGGGUGUGGGUUGGCCUUUGUGGGCAGCGUCUGCUCACGGCAACCGCCCGAGGACAGCAACUCACGCUCCUUGGAGUUCCUCCACUUCAUCCGCCUGUUCUGGAACCAAAUUUUCACCUUUAGGUAGAGAAAGAAAGCUAGUUAGUAAAGACAACGUAAUGAGCAAACAUAAUGCUAGUUACUUUUCCAUUAGCUUCUUAACAGCUUUCCGCUGAACGUCGGAGAACACCGCCCUCCUCAGCAUCCCUCUGCGGGGCUUCCCUCUGGCGGCCAGCGGCCAUGAGAAGGUUCCCGGGAUGGGCACGGCAGAUGAAGACGCUGCGAGAAGAAGACGACACAAAAAAAACACGCUCCAUUGAGGGCUCUGCACGCCCAGGCGCAGAUCGGCGCGCACAACAGGGAGAAGUGUGCGCUCCUGAUCCUGUUAGAAGCAUGAACUAACUGUCAGCCUCAGCUGCACAGGAGGCGCCCCUCGGCCUUUCUCUGCGUCCUUCUCGAAGCUUUAAUUCUA